UACACAUGCAGUCGAGCGGUAGCACAGAGAGCUUGCUCUCGGGUGACGAGCGGCGGACGGGUGAGUAAUGUCUGGGAAACUGCCUGAUGGAGGGGGAUAACUACUGGAAACGGUAGCUAAUACCGCAUAACGUCGCAAGACCAAAGUGGGGGACCUUCGGGCCUCAUGCCAUCAGAUGUGCCCAGAUGGGAUUAGCUGGUAGGUGGGGUAACGGCUCACCUAGGCGACGAUCCCUAGCUGGUCUGAGAGGAUGACCAGCCACACUGGAACUGAGACACGGUCCAGACUCCUACGGGAGGCAGCAGUGGGGAAUAUUGCACAAUGGGCGCAAGCCUGAUGCAGCCAUGCCGCGUGUGUGAAGAAGGCCUUCGGGUUGUAAAGCACUUUCAGCGGGGAGGAAGGCGGUGAGGUUAAUAACCUCACCGAUUGACGUUACCCGCAGAAGAAGCACCGGCUAACUCCGUGCCAGCAGCCGCGGUAAUACGGAGGGUGCAAGCGUUAAUCGGAAUUACUGGGCGUAAAGCGCACGCAGGCGGUCUGUCAAGUCGGAUGUGAAAUCCCCGGGCUCAACCUGGGAACUGCAUUCGAAACUGGCAGGCUAGAGUCUUGUAGAGGGGGGUAGAAUUCCAGGUGUAGCGGUGAAAUGCGUAGAGAUCUGGAGGAAUACCGGUGGCGAAGGCGGCCCCCUGGACAAAGACUGACGCUCAGGUGCGAAAGCGUGGGGAGCAAACAGGAUUAGAUACCCUGGUAGUCCACGCUGUAAACGAUGUCGAUUUGGAGGUUGUGCCCUUGAGGCGUGGCUUCCGGAGCUAACGCGUUAAAUCGACCGCCUGGGGAGUACGGCCGCAAGGUUAAAACUCAAAUGAAUUGACGGGGGCCCGCACAAGCGGUGGAGCAUGUGGUUUAAUUCGAUGCAACGCGAAGAACCUUACCUGGUCUUGACAUCCACAGAACUUUCCAGAGAUGGAUUGGUGCCUUCGGGAACUGUGAGACAGGUGCUGCAUGGCUGUCGUCAGCUCGUGUUGUGAAAUGUUGGGUUAAGUCCCGCAACGAGCGCAACCCUUAUCCUUUGUUGCCAGCGGUUAGGCCGGGAACUCAAAGGAGACUGCCAGUGAUAAACUGGAGGAAGGUGGGGAUGACGUCAAGUCAUCAUGGCCCUUACGACCAGGGCUACACACGUGCUACAAUGGCAUAUACAAAGAGAAGCGACCUCGCGAGAGCAAGCGGACCUCAUAAAGUAUGUCGUAGUCCGGAUUGGAGUCUGCAACUCGACUCCAUGAAGUCGGAAUCGCUAGUAAUCGUAGAUCAGAAUGCUACGGUGAAUACGUUCCCGGGCCUUGUACACACCGCCCGUCACACCAUGGGAGUGGGUUGCAAAAGAAGUAGGUAGCUUAACCUUCGGGAGGGCGCUACCACU
rnacentral:rRNA from 1 species